rnacentral:rRNA from 1 species
UACAGAGGCCUCGAGCGUUGCGCGGAAUCACUGGGCUUAAAGGGUGCGUAGGCGGAUACACAAGUGCCUUGUGAAAUCCCAGGGCUCAACCCUGGAACUGCUUGGUAGACUGUGUGUCUUGAGGUCGGUAGGGGUCGCUGGAACAGUUGGUGGAGCGGUGAAAUGUGUUGAUAUUGGAAGGAACACCGGAGGCGAAAGCGGUGUACUGGGGCUGGUCUGACGCUGAGGCACGAAAGCCAGGGGAGCGAACGGG